rnacentral:rRNA from 1 species
GGUGAGUAACACGUGGGUAACCUGCCUGUAAGACUGGGAUAACUCCGGGAAACCGGAGCUAAUACCGGAUAGUUCCUUGAACCGCAUGGUUCAAGGAUGAAAGACGGUUUCGGCUGUCACUUACAGAUGGACCCGCGGCGCAUUAGCUAGUUGGUGGGGUAAUGGCUCACCAAGGCGACGAUGCGUAGCCGACCUGAGAGGGUGAUCGGCCACACUGGGACUGAGACACGGCCCAGACUCCUACGGGAGGCAGCAGUAGGGAAUCUUCCGCAAUGGACGAAAGUCUGACGGAGCAACGCCGCGUGAGUGAUGAAGGUUUUCGGAUCGUAAAGCUCUGUUGUUAGGGAAGAACAAGUGCGAGAGUAACUGCUCGCACCUUGACGGUACCUAACCAGAAAGCCACGGCUAACUACGUGCCAGCAGCCGCGGUAAUACGUAGGUGGCAAGCGUUGUCCGGAAUUAUUGGGCGUAAAGGGCUCGCAGGCGGUUUCUUAAGUCUGAUGUGAAAGCCCCCGGCUCAACCGGGGAGGGUCAUUGGAAACUGGGAAACUUGAGUGCAGAAGAGGAGAGUGGAAUUCCACGUGUAGCGGUGAAAUGCGUAGAGAUGUGGAGGAACACC